rnacentral:rRNA from 1 species
CUACGGGAGGCAGCAGUGAGGAAUAUUGGGCAAUGGGGGAAACCCUGACCCAGCAAUGCCGCGUGCGGGAAGACGCCUUUCGGGGUGUAAACCGCUUUUCUGCAUGAAGAGGAAGGACGGUAGUGCAGGAAUAAGUCACGGCUAACUCCGUGCCAGCAGCCGCGGUAAUACGGAGGGUGCGAGCGUUAAUCGGAAUUACUGGGCGUAAAGCGUGCGUAGGCGGUAAGUUAAGUCAGAUGUGAAAGCCCCGGGCUCAACCUGGGAACGGCAUUUGAUACUGGCUUACUGGAGUGUGACAGAGGAUGGCGGAAUUCCGGGUGUAGGGGUGAAAUGCGUAGAGAUCCGGAGGAACACCGAUGGCGAAGGCAGCCAUCUGGGUUGACACUGACGCUGAGGCACGAAAGCGUGGGGAGCAAACAGGAUUAGAUACCCUAGUAGUCC